UCUCUGGUGGUCCAGUGGUUAGGACUCCACACUUCCACUAUGGGGACACAGGUUCGAUCCCUGGUCAGUGAA